CGAACGUAACGCGUACGUAGUACUGGGGGAGUAACACUUAGAAAUAGGUGCUAAUACCGCAUAAGCGCACAGCUUCGCAUGAAGCGGUGUGAAAAACUCUGGUGGUAUACGAUGGUUCCGCGUCUGAUUAGCUAGUUGGUGGGGUAAUGGCCUACCAAGGCAACGAUCAGUAGCCGGCCUGAGAGGGUGAACGGCCACAUUGGGACUGAGACACGGCCCAAACUCCUACGGAAGGCAGCAG
rnacentral:rRNA from 1 species